UCCAGCUACCCGUCCGCCUUCCAUACUUUGGUCCAUACUGGACUUGAACUAGCCACCCUUCGGUUCCCAAGCCAAGUCUCUAUGGACUUAGCUACUACCACCCCAGAGAACCUCACACAGUCAACCAGAUUGUCCUGAUAUCUUUUGGAGAAACCAAACACUGAACCUCUUGAGGCUGAAAUUCAGUGAACGCCUGAAGCACCCUGUUUCUUUUUUAUGAAAUCAUUUCUAUGUCACUGAAAAAUAACCGAAAACACGUACCUGUACUCGUAUGGGCACUCAGAUGAACUUUAAUCGUGGUUUGAAGGAAGGCUGAAGUAAUAAAGAAAUCACAGAAGAAGGAUUUACAGUUGUAGAGGAGAAAAAGGAGGGAGGACAUUGAUAUAAUGUCCAUGUGGCGAGUCUGCGUGACCUCUCUUCCACCCUGCAUCCUUUCUUUAUCUGUCAUGUUACCUCAUCAGGAUAUCUGUCUGACUUAUGUGACCCAGAACGUUUGUCACCUCUCUCUCCUCAUGAUUUUAACUAAGAAGACAAUUAAUUAAAGUGAAAUGAAUAAAAAAACACUCCACAUUGUGUGUGUGUGUGUGUGCU